GUAUCAUGGCUCAGGACGAACGCUGGCGGCGUGCCUAAUACAUGCAAGUCGAACGAGAGCGACCGGUGCUUGCACUGGUCAAUCUAGUGGCGAACGGGUGAGUAACACGUGGGUAACCUGCCCAUCAGAGGGGGAUAACAUUCGGAAACGGAUGCUAAAACCGCAUAGGUUCUUGAGUCGCAUGACCCGAGAAGGAAAAGAGGCUUCGGCUUCUGCUGAUGGAUGGACCCGCGGUGCA
rnacentral:rRNA from 1 species